GACCUUUUCAUUUAUUUCACAGCGCCUAUAUUGGGGAUGCCGGGUUCGCCCGGCUAUGGCGAUAAAUUGCCGCGUAAAAUAGACGCAGCGGACCCGGGGGCAGUACCCGGCGGCUCCACCACAACCGGCCCUGACCGAUAUCGGUCAAGGCGGGUUAUGACGGGGCCGAACCAGGAUCGACGUGUGUUGAAAGGCGCUGUUUUUGCCCGGGCUGAGUAACCUGUAAAAGGCUCAAAACCACAAGUGCUAACGAUAACGAAGCACUCGCAAUUGCGGCCUAACCCAAGACUUAACGGUCUAGGUUAGUACGACGAAAGCGCGGUUCGGGCCGAACCGGGCAACAGAAUCGGACACC
rnacentral:tmRNA from 1 species